GAGUUUGAUCGUGGCUCAGAUUGAACGCUGGCGGCAGGCCUAACACAUGCAAGUCGAGCGGCAGAGAGAAGCUUGCUUCUCUUGAGAGCGGCGGACGGGUGAGUAAUGCCUAGGAAUCUGCCUGGUAGUGGGGGAUAACGCUCGGAAACGGACGCUAAUACCGCAUACGUCCUACGGGAGAAAGCAGGGGACCUUCGGGCCUUGCGCUAUCAGAUGAGCCUAGGUCGGAUUAGCUAGUUGGUGAGGUAAUGGCUCACCAAGGCGACGAUCCGUAACUGGUCUGAGAGGAUGAUCAGUCACACUGGAACUGAGACACGGUCCAGACUCCUACGGGAGGCAGCAGUGGGGAAUAUUGGACAAUGGGCGAAAGCCUGAUCCAGCCAUGCCGCGUGUGUGAAGAAGGUCUUCGGAUUGUAAAGCACUUUAAGUUGGGAGGAAGGGCAGUAAAUUAAUACUUUGCUGUUUUGACGUUACCGACAGAAUAAGCACCGGCUAACUCUGUGCCAGC
rnacentral:rRNA from 1 species